rfam:Pteropus alecto contig7827, whole genome shotgun sequence.
GGCUCUAUAAUGUAGUGGUUAGCUCGUCUGCUUUAUAUGCAGAAGGUCCUGGGUUCGCACCCCAGGUGGAGCCA